rnacentral:tRNA from 1 species
GGGCAGGUGGCGGAAUUGGUAUACGCGUACGUUUGAGGGGCGUAUGGGGAAACCCGUGCGGGUUCAAGUCCCGCCCUGCCCA